rnacentral:rRNA from 1 species
AACGAACGCUGGCGGCAGGCUUAACACAUGCAAGUCGAACGCUCGUAGCAAUACGGGAGUGGCAGACGGGUGAGUAACGCGUGGGAACAUACCCUCCGGUUCGGAAUAACUCAGGGAAACUUGAGCUAAUACCGGAUACGGCUGAGAGGCGAAAGAUUUAUCGCCGGAGGAUUGGCCCGCGUUCGAUUAGCUUGUUGGUG